rnacentral:rRNA from 1 species
AGCGUGCGCAGGCGGUUAUGUAAGACAGAUGUGAAAUCCCCGGGCUCAACCUGGGAACUGCAUUAGUGACUGCAUAGCUGGAGUACGGCAGAGGGGGAUGGAAUUCCGCGUGUAGCAGUGAAAUGCGUAGAUAUGCGGAGGAACACCCGAUGGCGAAGGCAAUCCCCUCGGGCCUGUACUGACGCUCAUGCACGAAAGCGUGGGGAGCAAACAGGAUUAGAUACCCGAGU